rnacentral:rRNA from 1 species
AUUGAACGCUGGCGGCAUGCUUUACACAUGCAAGUCGAACGGUAACAGGGUGCUUGCACCGCUGACGAGUGGCGAACGGGUGAGUAAUGCGUCGGAACGUGCCGAGUAGUGGGGGAUAACGCAGCGAAAGUUGUGCUAAUACCGCAUACGUACUGAGGUAGAAAGUGGGGGACCUUCGGGCCUCACGCUAUUCGAGCGGCCGACGUCUGAUUAGCUAGUAGGUGAGGUAAAGGCUCACCUAGGCGACGAUCAGUAGCGGGUCAGAGAGGAUGAACCGCCACACUGGGACUGAGACACGGACCAGGCUCCUACGGGAGGCAGCAGUGGGGAAUUUUGGACAAUGGGCGAAAGCCUGAUCCAGCCAUGCCGCGUGUCUGAAGAAGGCCUUCGGGUUGUAAAGGACUUUUGUCAGGGAGGAAAUCCCUAGUGCUAAUAACACUGGGGGAUGACAGUACCUGAAGAAUAAGCACCGGCUAACUACGUGCCAGCCGCCGCCGUAA